rnacentral:rRNA from 1 species
UUAAGCGACUAAGCGUACACGGUGGAUGCCCUGGCAGUCAGAGGCGAUGAAGGGCGUGCUAAUCUGCGAUAAGCGCCGGUAAGGUGAUAUGAACCGUUAUAACCGGCGAUACCCGAAUGGGGAAACCCAGUGUGAUUCGUCACACUAUCAUUAACUGAAUCCAUAGGUUAAUGAGGCGAACCGGGGGAACUGAAACAUCUAAGUACCCCGAGGAAAAGAAAUCAACCGAGAUUCCCCCAGUAGCGGCGAGCGAACGGGGAGGAGCCCAGAGCCUGAAUCAGCAUGUGUGUUAGUGGAAGCGUCUGGAAAGGCGCGCGAUACAGGGUGACAGCCCCGUACACAAAAGCGCAUGUGCUGUGAGCUCGAUGAGUAGGGCGGGACACGUGGUAUCCUGUCUGAAUAUGGGGGGACCAUCCUCCAAGGCUAAAUACUCCUGACUGACCGAUAGUGAACCAGUACCGUGAGGGAAAGGCGAAAAGAACCCCGGCGAGGGAGUGAAAAAGAACCUGAAACCGUGUACGUACAAGCAGUGGGAGCCUCUUUAUGGGGUGACUGCGUACCUUUUGUAUAAUGGGUCAGCGACUUAUAUUCUGUAGCAAGGUUAACCGUAUAGGGGAGCCGGAGGGAAACCGAGUCUUAACCGGGCGUUAAGUUGCAGGGUAUAGACCCGAAACCCGGUGAUCUAGCCAUGGGCAGGUUGAAGGUUGGGUAACACUAACUGGAGGACCGAACCGACUAAUGUUGAAAAAUUAGCGGAUGACCUGUGGCUGGGGGUGAAAGGCCAAUCAAACCGGGAGAUAGCUGGUUCUCCCCGAAAGCUAUUUAGGUAGCGCCUCGUGAAUUCAUCUCCGGGGGUAGAGCACUGUUUCGGCUAGGGGGCCAUCCCGGCUUACCAACCCGAUGCAAACUGCGAAUACCGGAGAAUGUUAUCACGGGAGACACACGGCGGGUGCUAACGUCCGUCGUGAAGAGGGAAACAACCCAGACCGCCAGCUAAGGUCCCAAAGUCAUGGUUAAGUGGGAAACGAUGUGGGAAGGCCCAGACAGCCAGGAUGUUGGCUUAGAAGCAGCCAUCAUUUAAAGAAAGCGUAAUAGCUCACUGGUCGAGUCGGCCUGCGCGGAAGAUGUAACGGGGCUAAACCAUGCACCGAAGCUGCGGCAGCGACACUGUGUGUUGUUGGGUAGGGGAGCGUUCUGUAAGCCUGCGAAGGUGGCCUGUGAGGGUUGCUGGAGGUAUCAGAAGUGCGAAUGCUGACAUAAGUAACGAUAAAGCGGGUGAAAAGCCCGCUCGCCGGAAGACCAAGGGUUCCUGUCCAACGUUAAUCGGGGCAGGGUGAGUCGACCCCUAAGGCGAGGCCGAAAGGCGUAGUCGAUGGGAAACGGGUUAAUAUUCCCGUACUUGGUGUUACUGCGAAGGGGGGACGGAGAAGGCUAUGUUGGCCGGGCGACGGUUGUCCCGGUUUAAGCGUGUAGGCUGGUUUUCCAGGCAAAUCCGGAAAAUCAAGGCUGAGGCGUGAUGACGAGGCACUACGGUGCUGAAGCAACAAAUGCCCUGCUUCCAGGAAAAGCCUCUAAGCAUCAGGUAACAUCAAAUCGUACCCCAAACCGACACAGGUGGUCAGGUAGAGAAUACCAAGGCGCUUGAGAGAACUCGGGUGAAGGAACUAGGCAAAAUGGUGCCGUAACUUCGGGAGAAGGCACGCUGACACGUAGGUGAAGUGAUUUACUCAUGGAGCUGAAGUCAGUCGAAGAUACCAGCUGGCUGCAACUGUUUAUUAAAAACACAGCACUGUGCAAACACGAAAGUGGACGUAUACGGUGUGACGCCUGCCCGGUGCCGGAAGGUUAAUUGAUGGGGUCAGCGCAAGCGAAGCUCCUGAUCGAAGCCCCGGUAAACGGCGGCCGUAACUAUAACGGUCCUAAGGUAGCGAAAUUCCUUGUCGGGUAAGUUCCGACCUGCACGAAUGGCGUAAUGAUGGCCAGGCUGUCUCCACCCGAGACUCAGUGAAAUUGAACUCGCUGUGAAGAUGCAGUGUACCCGCGGCAAGACGGAAAGACCCCGUGAACCUUUACUAUAGCUUGACACUGAACAUUGAGCCUUGAUGUGUAGGAUAGGUGGGAGGCUUUGAAGUGUGGACGCCAGUCUGCAUGGAGCCGACCUUGAAAUACCACCCUUUAAUGUUUGAUGUUCUAACGUGGACCCGUUACCCGGGUUGCGGACAGUGUCUGGUGGGUAGUUUGACUGGGGCGGUCUCCUCCUAAAGAGUAACGGAGGAGCACGAAGGUUGGCUAAUCCUGGUCGGACAUCAGGAGGUUAGUGCAAUGGCAUAAGCCAGCUUGACUGCGAGCGUGACGGCGCGAGCAGGUGCGAAAGCAGGUCAUAGUGAUCCGGUGGUUCUGAAUGGAAGGGCCAUCGCUCAACGGAUAAAAGGUACUCCGGGGAUAACAGGCUGAUACCGCCCAAGAGUUCAUAUCGACGGCGGUGUUUGGCACCUCGAUGUCGGCUCAUCACAUCCUGGGGCUGAAGUAGGUCCCAAGGGUAUGGCUGUUCGCCAUUUAAAGUGGUACGCGAGCUGGGUUUAGAACGUCGUGAGACAGUUCGGUCCCUAUCUGCCGUGGGCGCUGGAGAACUGAGGGGGGCUGCUCCUAGUACGAGAGGACCGGAGUGGACGCAUCACUGGUGUUCGGGUUGUCAUGCCAAUGGCACUGCCCGGUAGCUAAAUGCGGAAGAGAUAAGUGCUGAAAGCAUCUAAGCACGAAACUUGCCCCGAGAUGAGUUCUCCCUGAGACUUAGAGUCUCCUGAAGGAACGUUGAAGACGACGACGUUGAUAGGCCGGGUGUGUAAGCGCAGCGAUGCGUUGAGCUAACCGGUACUAAUGAACCGUGAGGCUUAACCUU